UCUUGUCUCGCGUCUCUCUCUCUCUCUCUCUCUCUCUCUCUCUCUCUCUCUCUCUCUCUCUCAAAUGGAGAUCGGCGUCGGCCAGAUCUGAACCUUUUUCACUCUCUCCCUCUCAGGUUUAAUGGCAGUCAAAUGUCUGUGAGUGUGGAAGAACCCAAUCAAUCCCUGCCAUUUCUAAUCUUCUUGGAUCGAGAUCUCUUCCAAUCUCAAUGGCUUCCGCGUCUGCUUUGCCUCCUCCUUCAUACGCUCUCGAGAAAAUCGAAGGUAUGAAUUCCAAAUGCAGUAUGGAUUGAUUGGAUGGUCAGUGGGAACAACAGUGGGUUAUGCACAGACAGUAAAGAUCAGCCGUUGGUUGGAAAUGCCGGAAGCCUGGCCACCUUGCUGAGGAUUGUUUAGUGACAUUUCAUUCACCACACCUUUCCAUGAAUCAAUCAUGUGAUCCAGUUCAACUUCUCCUUUCUCAUUUUAACCAAAAGUCUUAAAGUUGUUAACAUCAUCUGAUGUUGUACUUCAUAUUUUAGUAAGAGUAAUGUGUUUUCUUCUUUUAUUUAGGUACCCAAGAGAGACCAUAAAUCUGGUUUUAUAUCUGAAGAUAUUCUUGCUCUCUACAAAAGUGAAAUACACUGGCAAACUUGAAGAUGGAACAGUUUUUGAGAGGAAAGGAACUGAUGAAGAGGCUCUAGAGUUCAUGUGUUUUGUAGCCACCAACUGCCCGCAUGACAUCAACCUCCUCCUUUAGCCUGGCUUGAGAACAUCUAGUGCAAUUGCUACCAGGCAGGGUUCACUACACCAAAAGUUUGAGCAGUAACAGUAACAGUAGCAGUAACAACUCCACCAGAGAUUUCCAAAUUCUGGAGCCAUGCCACAGUAAUCUUGCUUAUCAGCCCAAUAUGCUGAAGAAGAAAGCAUGGUCAAGUCGUGAAAAGAAUAUCUCAGAGGCUAUUAUUGGGGUUGGAAGAAAAGGUACGGCAGCAGUGCCAAGGAAUCCUCUGUAUCCAAGUAUUGGUGGUAGGGGUGCUGCUUCUGGUAAUAUUGAUCAGAGAGCAAAAGGACAUCUAGACAGAAUGGAGAGCUCUGGGAUGGCCACUAUGUCUGAUGAAACUCGAGAAGCUCUUCCUAAGGCACUUCUGGAACUUUUUCAUGUUCAUAAAGUUUGCAGAUGAUGCUUAUACUUCUUUCUAUUUUCACUUAUUUGAUCUCCUUCAGCAGCUAGAGCAUAUUUUCAGUUUCGAUACUUACAAGCUGAUAAGCAGUCAAUCAACCUGUCAUUCUAAUGGAUUUUAUUUGUGCAUCUGUUUGUGUUCCAUAUUUUACAUAUUAUAUGGGGAACCUAUUUGCAAACCAUCAACUCAUUUAAAGAAAAGACAGGUAAACCUCGUCUCAACUUUUGACAAUUAAUUAGAAUGGAAUGGAACAGGUCUGUAUAUCUUUUAGCAGCACUGGCAGAAGCUGGAUUCCUUAUUGGAUUGGAAUGGAAUAGGUCUGUAUAUACAUUUUUUCCAUCAUGAAGGGCUUGUCUUGUGUAAGAUUUUUAGUUAUCAAUAGAAAAAGGAAAAUCUUUUAGUUCCGUAUUGCAUUAUUCUUCUGAUAUUGAUAAUUUGGUAGAAGUAUUUUGUGAAAUGCUGCGACAAUCGAUGAAAAUGCAGACCUUUCCGAGACUAAGAAACUUCCAUCAUGAUCAACAUUUUCUUUUAUAGCAAUUUUGGCAAGUUGAUUCUGUUCUAAUCUUAUUCUGUGAGAGAUUGCAAACCUACCUAUAUAUGUAUAUAAGGAACUAUUUUUGUUUACAUAUAUGAAGAAUCAUGUGAGGACUUCAUACAAAUUUGGAACUUUGUUUAACCUGGGGACAAUAUUCUAAAAAGAAAUUUACUAUGGUUUCCUAAAACAGGUGGAAAGCAUCUACCAGUAGAUUCAUUCUUGAGAAGAUACGUUUACCGAAUGAACAAAUGGGAAAUAAACAAAUACGUUUUCUAUUUCUGACAUUAAUCAUAUGUUAAUCCGAAAUUAGGAGUAUGAAGAGUUGGAAGAAGUCCCGUGUUUUUACCCUCAGGGGUACCAUGGAGUUGAUAAAGAAGGAAGACCUGUCUACAUUGACAGGCUUGGUAAAGCUGAACCAAACAAGCUUAUGCACAUUACUAUAGCAGAUCACUACUUAAGGUAUCAUGUACAGGAGUAUGAGAUUCUCUUCCUGCUGACUUUUCCUGUUCAAACUAUAUAUUCCAGACUGGAGUGUUGAUAGAAUAAUCAAAUAUAUGCAAUCUGAAGUAGACAAAGAGCAGCAGGAAGCUGGAAGUUUGAAGAACGAUGAUGUGUCAAAGAAUACCAACUCGCAAAAGACAGAU